rnacentral:piRNA from 1 species
UAGGAACUCAUCUCAUAGAAAAAGGCCCUA